rnacentral:rRNA from 1 species
CCCGCGGCUAGACGGAAAGACCCCGUGAACCUUUACUGCAGCUUGACAUUGAACUUUGAUCUUACUUGUGUAGGAUAGGUGGGAGGCUUUGAAGCAGCGACGCUAGUUGCUGUGGAGCCAAUCUUGAAAUACCACCCUGGUAAUAUUGAGGUUCUAACUCUGCUCCAUGAUCUGGAGCGAGGACCAUGUCUGGUGGGUAGUUUGACUGGGGCGGUCUCCUCCUAAAGAGUAACGGAGGAGUACGAAGGUGCGCUCAGCGUGGUCGGAAAUCACGCGUAGAGUAUAAAGGCAAAAGCGCGCUUAACUGCGAGACCCACAAGUCGAGCAGGUACGAAAGUAGGUCUUAGUGAUCCGGUGGUUCUGUAUGGAAGGGCCAUCGCUCAACGGAUAAAAGGUACUCUGGGGAUAACAGGCUGAUACCGCCCAAGAGUUCAUAUCGACGGCGGUGUUUGGCACCUCGAUGUCGGCUCAUCUCAUCCUGGGGCUGAAGCAGGUCCCAAGGGUAUGGCUGUUCGCCAUUUAAAGAGGUACGCGAGCUGGGUUUAGAACGUCGUGAGACAGUUCGGUCCCUAUCUACCGUGGGCGUUGGAAAUUUGAGAGGAUCUGCUCCUAGUACGAGAGGACCAGAGUGGACGAACCUCUGGUGUACCGGUUGUGACGCCAGUCGCAUCGCCGGGUAGCUAUGUUCGGAAGGGAUAACCGCUGAAAGCAUCUAAGCGGGAAGCCUACCUCAAGAUAAGAUUUCCCUA